rnacentral:lncRNA from 1 species
CCUACAGAGCAGAUAAAGAGUGUCAGUGAGUUCUGAGGUUAAUCUUCUCUACACUCUGUCUCUCAAUUAUUGGAUAUGCAACUUAACAUGAUCCUAACACAAUCCUCUAAAUGUAACUUGUAUCAUGGACAGAUUUAACGCUUACCCAGGGGAAAUGCUGCCAAUAGCCAAAACUAUUAAAGAGAUGCUCCCAAUCAGGUAUGGCACAAAAAAGCCCCAAUCCUACAGCAACAGUAUGAAUGAAACUGUUAGUGAGUGCCACCAUUUCUAAAUUGUUUCACAAGUAACUGCAUCAAUCUCACUGCUCAAGCAUAAAAAAGAAAAGGAGAAAAAAAAAAAGCUCAAGGAUGAUAAAGGAAAUAUCGCCCUUAAGGCAAGGAUCAUUGAGCCAAUUGAGGGACAUAAAAUAGAAAGCAAGUCAAACAUUUCUAGAAAGCUUAGUAAAACUUGAUAUAAGAAGCUGCAAGGGUAUUUUACCUUACGGACAUAUAAACAGGUAAGUGGAAAGUCAAUCUUGUAAAGAAUGCACAGGAGGGAUGAUAGGCAAUGCAGUAAUUAUUUGUUUUCCUUCUCGGACGUGUUCAAUGCCUAUCUAGAAACUAGUAAUUUGAAGAAGAAAAUUUAUUUGAAGCGCAUGCAGGCUGAAAAUUUCCAAAAUUUCAAAUUUCCAUAUGCAGUUGCAUUCCCCUCUCCAAAUUUAAUUCUCAAUGCAAAUUAAAUUUCAGUGCCACGGGAUUUCGAAAAGAAUAUUCACACAGAGAAAACGGAAAAGUUGAAAGCUCAUGAACAAAUCAGCAGACUUUCAAGCAUGUUUUAAGAUACCCAUGAAAAAGGUCUUCUCGUCUUGUCUCAGAGGCUGGUGCUUUGUCUGCAGUUUGACAGCAUGGAGACCUCCGGUGAGAGGCCCCUCAAAUUACUAGCUAUAAAGGUGACGAGGUCUUACUGUCUUAGAACUUAAGCUAAAAGGAAUUCUUUCUUAGAUCCCUAAUGGUUUGGCUGGCAUGGAACUCAUGUAUUGUUUUGUUCCUAUGUUUUUCAUUUAUAGAAAAUAUGUCUUGCCCCAAAACCAAAUGCCAGAUGCUGUUGGCUCUUAGUCUCUAGAAUCCUUUGUUUUCUUUGGUUUUCUUGUAUGCUCCCUCUGUAAUCGAACUAUGCCCCUCUAGCAUCUCUAAUUGAC